rnacentral:lncRNA from 1 species
UGCAUUAUAUAUUCUAGUUAAUACUGAUACUUAAAAUUUUCCAAAAAGAUGCCCGAAUAAAAAACAUUGCUUGUGAAAGAUGGAAGUUCAACAUGGAAAUUAGAUCUUUUCAAAUAUUGUCUCAUUUAAAGAAUCAAGUACUGGCAGAACUAACGCCAAUGAUCUUACAGUAUAAAUGAAAACAUGAAGACUGAAUCAAAGAACCACUAUCAGAAAAUGGAUGUGAAG